rnacentral:rRNA from 1 species
AGACGUAGGGGGCGAGCGUUGUUCGGAAUUACUGGGCGUAAAGAGCUCGUAGGCUGGAAAUUAAGUCUUUGAACAAAUCUCCCGGCUCAACCGGGAACCGUUUAGGGAUACUGAUUUUCUUGAGAACAGGAGAGGGGAAUGGAAUUCCUAGUGUAGCGGUGAAAUGCGUAGAUAUUAGGAGGAACACCAGUGGCGAAGGCGGUUCUCUGGCCUGUUUCUGACGCUGAGGAGCGAAAGCUGGGGGAGCGAACGGGAUUAGAUACCCCGGUAGUCCCAGCUGUAAACGAUGGAUACUAGGUGUAGGAGGUAUCGACCCCUUCUGUGCCGCAGUUAACACAAUAAGUAUCCCGCCUGGGGAGUACGGCCGCAAGGCUAAA